rnacentral:lncRNA from 1 species
GUCCUCUCUUUCCCUCGUGCUUCCUAGUGUAUGGACCCCACCGCAGCUGGCCUGAGUUGUCUGCACGUCGAUGUUUUCCCAGCAGCAGAGUGUAUGGACCCCACCGCAGCUGGCCUGAGUUGUCUGCACGUCGAUGUUUUCCCAGCAGCAGAGGUGAGCACGCCCGCCACAGGGACAAAGACAGCUCUGUUCCCCAGGGGAUUGGGGGGACUCUUGGGGACACCUCCCUUUUUCGCAAUCAAUCUACCAGCCUUAGGUCCGAUUUCCGGACCAGCUGUAUUGAGGGAACGGAAGAGGCUCCAAGGUAAAGACAAGGACGGCGUUUCAGGAGACCUCAGGCGAGAAACUGCCCAGGGAUUAACACAGCUGCUCACCAAAGGAUCACCGUUUGACCACCUUCCAUGCACGACCCUCAGGCACUUUCCUCCUGGCACCAGAGCCCAGGUCAGCCUGGGGUCUCCCAAUCAACAGCUCGACCGCAGACACCAGCCAACAGCCCAACAAAACCCCAAACCCAAGGGGAAAAUGGCAAAAGACCUCAAGAGACAUUUCCCGAAACAGACAUGCAGAGGGCAAAAAGCACUGGGAGACAUGUGCCCCGCAUCCCUCAUGAGGAGAGACAUGCACGUCAAAGGGACUCUGAAGGACCAACCCACCUCUCUCUGAAGGGCCACCAUUAGGAAGUCUACAAGGCACACAUCCCUGAGAGGGUGUGGACAAGAAGAUGCCCUCCUCCACGGUGGGUAUUUUUGUACGUGUGGACAACCGCGAUGGACCACACGAUCGAGGGAAUCCACAAAAAUCAAUAGCGGACGACCUCAGCACCCAGGCCUCCCACUCUUGGUCCUAUUUCCGGAAUUGGGUCUUUGAAAAAUGUAAAAGCCCCCGCUAUGUUCAUGCAGCACUCUUCCCAAUAGCCAGCCAUGGAAAACAACUCAAUGUCCAUCGAGAGAUGAUUGGAUUAGGAAGAGAGUGGAUAUGUACACAUUGGAAUGCUCCUCAAACAUUGAAAAAAAAAAAAGCAGAAACCCCGAAAACCCCAGAGCAAGAGGAAAAUGCCAUUCGCAGCCAUGUAGGUGGCACGAGAAGCUAGGUGACACCUCGUUUCAUACUAGGUGAACUAAGUCGGAACACGAACGACACAUACCAAGGGCUAUCCCUUCUAUGUGGAAGCUAGCAAAUGGAACCAACGAACCUUUCUAUGUAGAAGCAGCUCAUAGACUGGAAAACAUCGCUGUGGUUGCCAGAUGGUAGGGGGAGGCUGUGGGAAGGCCUGGGAUUUGGGAGUGGUAGAGUCAACCUCUUGUGCUUGGCAUGUGUUAGCAAUGAAGUCCUGCUCUAUAGCACAGGGAUUAUACCUGGCCACUUCUGUGGAACCAAAAUGGAAGACACUGCGACCAAAAGAAGAUGCAUAUACAUGUACGACUGGAUCGCGUUUGUGCUCAAGUGAAACUGGGCACCAUACAUCCGUGAGAAUGGAAAAUAAUCACCGAUAAAAUCCCACACCCUUAGUGGCUUGGGAUUCCCCACAGCAUGUGCUAUGGUACAUAGCCCUGCCUCUCAGGAGAAGCCAGGCGGGCUCCGUUGACCCUGACAAGGGGCACUGGCACUAUGAGCUGGGACCCGACGUGAUGACCAAGCGUGGAUAAAUUUCUUUCUGUACUAG